rnacentral:rRNA from 1 species
CGAUUAGCUAGUUGGUAGGGUAAAGGCCUACCAAGGCGACGAUCGGUAGGUGGUCUGAGAGGAUGAUCACCCACAAUGGGACUGAGACACGGCCCAUACUCCUACGGGAGGCAGCAGUGGGGAAUUUUGUGCAAUGGGCGAAAGCCUGACACAGCGACACCGCGUGAGCGAAGAAGCCCUUUGGGGUGUAAAGCUCUGUCAGCUGGAACGAAACAAAUGACGGUACCAGCAGAGGAAGCAUCGGCUAACUACGUGCCAGCAGCCGCGGUAAUACGUAGGCAGCAAGCGUUGUUCGGAAUUACUGGGCGUAAAGAGUGCGUAGGCGGUUUGGCAAGUUUGGUGUGAAAUCUCCCGGCUUAACUGGGAGGGUGCGCCGAAAACUGCCAGGCUAGAGUGUGGGAGAGGAAAGUGGAAUUCCUGGUGUAGCGGUGAAAUGCGUAGAUAUCAGGAGGAACACCUGCGGUGUAGACGGCUUUCUGGACCACUACUGACGCUGAGGCACGAAAGCGUGGGGAGCAAACAGGAUUAGAUACCCUGGUAGUCCACGCCCUAAACGAUGCAGACUUGGUGUUGGCCCUUCAUUGGGUCAGUGCCGAAGCUAACGCGGUAAGUCUGCCGCCUGGGGAGUACGGUCGCAAGGCUGAA